GAUGAACGCUGGCGGGUGAUAAUGCAUGCAAGUAGAACGCUGAAGCUUGGUGCUUGACGACGGAUGAGUUGCGAACGGGUGAGUAACGCGAGGUAACCUGCCUCUUAGCGGGGGAUACUAUUGGAAACGAUAGCUAUACGCAUAAAAGUUGACAUUGCAUGAUGUUGAUUUGAAAGAUGCAAUUGCAUCACUAAGAGAUGGACCUGCGUUGUAUUAGCUAGUUGGUGAAGUAACGGCUCACCAAGGCGACGAUCCAUAGCCGACCUGAGAGGGUGAUCGGCCACACUGGGACUGAGACACGGCCCAGACUCCUACGGGAGGCAGCAGUAGGGAAUCUUCGGCAAUGGGGGCAACCCUGACCGAGCAACGCCGCGUGAGUGAAGAAGUUUUCGGAUCGUAAAGCUCUGUUGUAGAGAAGAACGAGUGUGAGAGUGGAAGUUCACACUGUGAUGGUAACUUCCAGAAAGGGACGGCUAACUACGUGCCAGCAGCCGCGGAAUACGUAGGUCCCGAGCGUUUUCGGAUUUAUGGGCGUAAAGGAGCGCGGGGGGGAGAUGGGCUGAAGUUAAAGGUGCCCCACCAUAGUACACUUUGAUUUGGUACGGAGGGGGAGGGAAAGGAAAUCAUGGUGGUUUAAUAUUUGAUAAGGAGAAGCAGGUGGACUGUUCCUUUUUCUUAGUUGGGGGGGAAGAAAGAGGUAAAAAGUUCCGCCGAUCCUACACUUAAUUUUUUUGUCCUCUGGGAGGCGGGGGGAGCUUGCCUUGGGGGGGGGGGACAUUAAACAUGACAAACAAAAAAAAGUGGGGGGGGGGAUGCAGUUUAUCGAGUGCCGGUGGCCUACCCUAUGCCAGUGGAAGAACUAUAUGUGCGUCAUGGAUUCGUAUGUAUUUUUCGCAAA
rnacentral:rRNA from 1 species